UACGGAGGGCGCAAGCGUUGUUCGGAAUUACUGGGCGUAAAGCGCGUGUAGGCGGCUUGGUAAGUCGGGUGUGAAAUCCCGGAGCUCAACUCCGGAACUGCACCCGAUACUGCCUCGCUAGAGUCCCGGAGAGGAUGGCGGAAUUUCCGGUGUAGAGGUGAAAUUCGUAGAUAUCGGAAGGAACACCAGCGGCGAAGGCGGCCAUCUGGACGGUGACUGACGCUCAGACGCGAAAGCGCGGGGAGCAAACAG
rnacentral:rRNA from 1 species